rnacentral:rRNA from 1 species
CAGCCGCCGCGGGAAUACGAAGGGGGCUAGCGUUGUUCGGAAUUACUGGGCGUAAAGCGCACGUAGGCGGAUUUUUAAGUCAGGGGUGAAAUCCCGAGGCUCAACCUCGGAACUGCCUUUGAUACUGGAGAUCUUGAGUUCGGAAGAGGUUGGUGGAACAGCUAGUGUAGCGGUGAAAUGCGCAGAUAUCAGGAAGAACACCAAUGGCGAAGGCAGCUCGCUGGGACGGUACUGACGCUGAGACGCGAAAGCGCGGGGAGCAAACAGGAUUAGAUACCCCGGUAGUCCCUGUCUCUUAUCA